rnacentral:rRNA from 1 species
UACGGAGGAUCCAAGCGUUAUCCGGAUUAUUGGGUUUAAAGGGUGCGUAGGCGGCCUAUUAAGUCAGAGGUGAAAGACGGUAGCUCAACUAUCGCAGUGCCUUUGAUACUGAUGGGCUUGAAUGAACUAGAGGUAGGCGGAAUGAGACAAGUAGCGGUGAAAUGCAUAGAUAUGUCUCAGAACACCGAUUGCGAAGGCAGCUUACUAUGGUUUAUUGACGCUGAGGCACGAAAGCGUGGGAUCAAACAGG